UUGUCCAACGGGGGGCAGCAGUGAGGAAUAUUGGUCAAUGGGCGCGAGCCUGAACCAGCCAAGUCGCGUGAGGGAGGACGGCCCUACGGGUUGUAAACCUCUUUUGCCGGGGAGCAAGCCUGAGCACGUGUGCCCAGGCGGAGAGUACCCGGAGAAAAAGCAUCGGCUAACUCCGUGCCAGCAGCCGCGGUAAUACGGAGGAUGCGAGCGUUAUCCGGAUUUAUUGGGUUUAAAGGGUGCGCAGGCGGGCUGUUAAGCCGGCGGUAAAAAUUCGGGGCUCAACCCUUUCGAGCCGUCG
rnacentral:rRNA from 1 species